UCAGGCUUUUAACUUGUUUGAGGAAAUAUAUACAUUUCAUUAGUCCCAAAUUAAAUUAUCUACCUAGUGCUUCACUAUAGAGCUAAUGAAAUUCAAGGAGCCCAACACUGGCCCAUACAGACUCGAAGAGGAUUUGACAAUCGAUUAUAGGCACAUAUUUUGAAAAACAGUGUAGCCCAAUGAAUAUUACUUUUGUAUUUAAAGUAGCAAGAAUUUGCAAAGGCCAUCAAAUGGAAAAGGUACGGAUUAAACAUUUCUGAUAUUCAUUUCUUCUUGAAUACGGCUUUGGGGAAGGAUUUGCUCAGUUACAACUGUGUUUCAUCUUAGCAUGUUUCUGGCCUGAGUAAGCUUUUAAUCCUGGCCGACCACAAAAUAGAAAAAUUCCCUUUGCAGAAAACGCGAAUAUUAGACUCUUAGGGAAGGGGGAGGAGGAGGAAGGUUCAGGCUGGAAGUUUCUUCAUAAUGUUCCUCUCAAACGGACUGUGCAGAAACUUAAGAAGAUUGAGUGCAGACCCGAGGUGCAGCCUUAUUUUCCUUCUCAAAGAAUGUGACGGCUACUUUUUGCUGGGCAGUUUCACUGAAAAGGUUUAUCUGUGCUCAGGCUGUUGUGAAGCUGUGCCUUUCCUGACCUGCUGCUCUGAGCGCUGGGCGAGGUCAACACUGGUGUACUCUGAACUAACGCAUUAUACUGGAGAACUGGAUCCAGAGGAUUCAGAAGAACAUAAUGAAAAGGAAAACUACAGCGAACCUUUCCAUGAUAUGCUUAGCUUUGUGUGCAAUGCAGUGUGAGCAGGAAGACAUCGCUCCACCGUAAACAGGUUUUUUAGCCUCCUCUGCUGCUUCGGGUGAGGAAAGGCAGGCAGCUGGUAGGACACUGAGGCAGUGCCCCCGAUUCCCUUCCCUGGUCCCCUCCGUGAGAGCAGAAUGAGCCACCUCCACCCAACUGUGCGGUGACUACCGUGCAUUAAGAUGCACAAAUAGCAAUCUAGCCCUUGAGUCUUUCUUUUCAUAUUUUUCCAGACAGCUUCAGUCCAGAUAAGGUUCUGACUCCUCCUGAGAUAAUUCCUAACAUUUCUAAAUGGGUUUCAAAUUCCCUCCCAAUUCCACUGUCAGUAAUGAGCACCACAUUUCACAAAUGGGCCGGUGGGUUAUACAGAUGCACAUCUUAUAACUGUACUUGGUUUUGCUUGAAAUCGUUUCAGGAACUAUGGAAAAGGAGUGGUUUAUUUAGAAAUCAGGGGUAAAUACAACCUUACAAUUAUCAUGUGAAUAUGGGGGAUUAAGAGAAAGGAAAAGCAACACCACUAGCAACAUUCUUGUCAUCUCACCCUCCCUCCCUCCCUUGAGAUGUUAUGCAUUUUCCUCCAUUCGUGUGAUCUGGGGCUCCAUUUAAAGUCGCGUUUAGAGUCUUUUAAAUAUUUCCUGUGGUGACAGAAACUUGUUCUUUGAGGAGAGACUUUAAUUUAGGGAACCCAAAGAUAGAAGUAGCCCAAUGAAUAAGGUGGAUGAUCAUGGCAGGUGAUACCAACUUUGUUUAAAAAAUAAAGGGAAAUGGGAAAGAUUUUCUCCAUAUGGUCUUUUACACCAUAGCAUCACUGGGAUAAUGCUGUAACCUUACAGAAUGCCUCUCUGAAGAGGCUGACUCUUGACUGGUAGGUUCUUUUCUCUUCUCAUGCAGGUUCUGUGUAUUGUGGUUUUAUUUACGCUCUGGUUUGCACAGAAUUAUGUCCCUAAUUACUGUCACUGGAGCUGGGUCUUACGAGCUUCUGGGAAUUCUAGUCCACUUCAAACAAGUAUUUAAUAUAUCAAAUUGAGAUA